rnacentral:rRNA from 1 species
GAUGAACGCUAGCUACAGGCUUAACACAUGCAAGUCGAGGGGCAGCAUGGUCUUAGCUUGCUAAGGCCGAUGGCGACCGGCGCACGGGUGAGUAACACGUAUCCAACCUGCCGUCUACUCUUGGACAGCCUUCUGAAAGGAAGAUUAAUACAAGAUGGCAUCAUGAGUCCGCAUGUUCACAUGAUUAAAGGUAUUCCGGUAGACGAUGGGGAUGCGUUCCAUUAGAUAGUAGGCGGGGUAACGGCCCACCUAGUCUUCGAUGGAUAGGGGUUCUGAGAGGAAGGUCCCCCACAUUGGAACUGAGACACGGUCCAAACUCCUACGGGAGGCAGCAGUGAGGAAUAUUGGUCAAUGGGCGAGAGCCUGAACCAGCCAAGUAGCGUGAAGGAUGACUGCCCUAUGGGUUGUAAACUUCUUUUAUAAAGGAAUAAAGUCGGGUAUGGAUACCCGUUUGCAUGUACUUUAUGAAUAAGGAUCGGCUAACUCCGUGCCAGCAGCCGCGGUAAUACGGAGGAUCCGAGCGUUAUCCGGAUUUAUU